rnacentral:rRNA from 1 species
UGGUAAUGCAUAGGAAUCUACCUAGUAGUAUGGGAUAGCCCUAGAAAUGGUGGGUAAUACUGUAUAAUCCCUGCGGGGGAAAGAUUUAUCGCUAUUAGAUGAGCCUAUGUUAGAUUAGCUAGUUGGUAGGGUAAAGGCCUACCAAGGCGAUGAUCUAUAGCUGGUCUGAGAGGAUGAUCAGCCACACUGGAACUGAGAUACGGUCCAGACUCCUACGGGAGGCAGCAGUGGGGAAUAUUGGACAAUGGGCGCAAGCCUGAUCCAGCUAUGCCGCGUGAGUGAGGAAGGCCUUAGGGUUGUAAAACUCUUUCAGUAGGGAAGAUAAUGACGGUACCUACAGAAGAAGUCCCGGCAAACUCCGUGCCAGCAGCCGCGGUAAUACGGAGGGGGCAAGCGUUGUUCGGAAUUAUUGGGCGUAAAGGGCAUGUAGGCGGUUCGGUAAGUUAAAGGUGAAAUGCCAGGGCUUAACCCUGGAGCUGCUUUUAA